GUAACUUCAAGAAAGAUCAUGGAGUUCACACAGAACCCCCAAGCUCCGCCCAUAGCCUGCGGAAGACUAGGCCUCUCAGAAACCCCAUCUCCUUCUAAUCAUCCUCCCAAGGUUGAAGUACUUCAAAGAGGACAUGGAUCAAUUAUUCAAGUUUCCAAAGCUUUCUCACCUGAGAGGAUUCCCCAGAGGAACCCUGCAGUAGCAUUUCUGCCCAAACAACUGUUCCCACUUGGUGAGAUGUCUGUUUAACUUUUAUAUUAGCAUAUUACAUGGAAUGUUUGUAUGAAUAAACCACAUAUAUUUGAAAGACAAAUCUUGUGUGGACAUCCUAAUUGCUGAGUGCCUUACAGUCAAUAGGCCAUGCUUUCUGCAAUGUGAAUGGAUGUCUGCUUUUAAGCUUCUGAAAUGUGUGCUACAAUCCAAAUAAUCACAAAGGUUCCAUACCUAGUAAGGGACUGGGGUAUGUGUGGGUCUCCCAAGGAAGGUCAAAUGGAGUAUGGUGUUAUGGAGAGAUAGAGGGGAAAGUGGAAUGGGAAGAUUAAAUGAGGAGGGGUGGGAGAGAUGGAUAAAGGGGGGAUAUGGAGAGGGCAACUAACACUAAAGGCCUUUUAAAAAAGCAUAUGGAAACCUGUUUACUGCUCUGGAGGCAGUAGGACCUAAAAAUGAGGCAGACUAAAGUCUCAUGCAGUAGAAUAGCCAACCUUUUUCAGAGCAUCACACAAUUUAUAUUCUGAGGUUUAAGAAGUAAUCACAUGAGUAAAAUGUACAAUCACAAGGACCAUUCACACAUGACAAAAACAUGUUUUUCCAUAGAGGCAUAAAAAACAAUAGCCAGAUGUACUGAAUAAUCUGAAGUAAACCACUCCUAUCCACUAUACCUGGGAGGAGCAGAAAACAAAUUCCAAGAACAAUUACACGUUAUUGAAGAAACUGAGGUGACAAGACUCUUGUUUUGUUUUUUUAGAGUAUUUUCACAGGUACUCAGAAUUCUCCUCAUACAACUCCAUUCUUGAACUGUGUUAUGAUAGAAACCUACUACUGUAGAACCUCCCUAAAGUAUAUACAAUAUGAAAAGAAUUUAAAUAGAGACAUCAUAUACUGGGGAAGACAGUGCCCCAACUAGAUAUCUUAUCUUACCAAGUAAAACUUUAGUUCUGGGAAUGAGUUAUAUCUUGUUGAGUCAUGGCCAAAGGGGUCCCAUAAAACCCUUAAAAUAUCACAGACUAUUACUUACCCUCUACAACCUGGUGCUAAGUCCCUCGUGCUGAAGACACUAUUAACUAAUAUCAUUGAACACAUAGACAUCAAGCUGGUGCUCAAGUAGAAGCUUCAUCCCUAGUGCUAGUGUUCAUGGUACUAGAAGGUGCUCUGUAUAUUACCAGAGGAGAAAGGUAAUCAUCAAUAUUACCCAGCCACAAACACUGAUCUACAAAAGCAGCCUGCCUGCAAGAUAUGCUGGUACAAUAGUGUCAUGAAGGUUAUAGGAGUAACCAACCACUUUUUGAUUGGAAGACAUUUCAUAAAAAUAAACCACAGCACUUAUUAUUAUUAAGAGAAAAACAAAAACAAACAAAAACCAUAAAGAAUACAACCAAAGCAGAAUCCCUCUUACAAGUACACUGUAAAUUUGUUUGUCUUUGUUUUUUUUGAGGGCCAGUCUUGUUCAUAAGUAGUCCAGCCUGAUCUUGAAGUCACAGUAAUUAUCCUGCCACAACCUCUCAAGUACUGAGAUUACAAGAGUGUGCCACCAUGUCAGUUUGGCUGUGACAACUAAAAAUGUAUCCACACUUCGCCAAAUGUUCCUUGGAAAGAAAAGCCAACAGCAGUAGCCCCACUCCUGCCUCUGAGAAUCAUUGCUCUAAAAGCAUCUCGUCUCGUAAAAUCACUGAACAAUGCCAACAGCCAGUGAACUGGAACCCACAGAUUGAGAUUUUAGACAGUUUGUGAGCAUUGAGUAUAUUGAUUUGUUAGGAUACCUGAAGAAUUGAGAAUGGGUUGCAACAUCAGAGAACCUCUCUGUCAAUGUAAUUAGACCUUUCUUUCUUGUUGAAAUUAGACUCAUCUCUUUCCUCUUCAUCUGUAUGACAGGUAUCAGAGUCUCCUAGAAAUGGGAUUGCAGAUGUGAUUUAUGUUUGGCCAUAAAAACUUUGAAAAAAGUAGAUAGUAGCCAAUUUCCUGUAGUGUGGCAGCAAACCAUAACAGGCAUGAACUCAAACAUGGAGCUUCUGAAGAACUUACUCCUGUGCCUAGAUAGGAGUGCCCUGACUGGCACAUGGCUAUGAUAAGGGCAGCUACAAAAUCAGUAACAGAAUCAACUUCCUGACAGGUGGAUUACAAAGGCACUUGUGUAAACUUCAAGCCAACUUUCCCGAGGGAACUCCCUAAUUUCUUCUUGGGGCAUCCAUUGAUUUUUAAAAAAUAUCUACUUCCAACUAUCAAAUCCCUUUCUUCUGAAACAUUAAGUGUUCAUCUUUAUAGUACACUGUAUCUUGUCCGAUAGGCAAUCUUUUAAAAUUAAACUUUUUUAGAUGGAUGUGGUGACCCAUUCCUUUAAUGCCAGCACUUAGGGCAGAGGCUAGCCUGGUCCAAAUACUGAGUUCUAGUCCAGCCAGGACUACAUAGAGAGACUCUUUGUAAAAAAAAAAAAAAAAAAAAAAUAGAUUUAUUCAUCAUUCAAAGUAAUCCUCUUCCCCUAACCUCAAAGUGCUACGCUAAUUUGACAACCCAAAAGUACAGCACGUAGCCAAAAAGUUGUCAUUCCUAAUCCAUUACAGAGAUCACAAAUCCUUUCCAGAAGAUCUCUAGCUGAGUUUAUCAUGCUGUAGUUAGUAUUUCAGAACUACUCAAGAGAAACAAUGCUGAAAUUAAAACAAACAGCCACGCAGUGGUUUAAUCCACACACCUUUAAUCCCAGCACUGGGGAGGCAGAGGCAGGCAGAUUUGUGAGUUUGAGGCCAGCUUGAUCUACAGAGUGAGUUCCAAGACAGUCAGGACUACACUGAGAAAUCCUCUUUCAAAAAAGCAAACAGAGUGUCCUGGAAUUUCUGAAGUUCAAAAAAAUCCUAAGUGCUCUCAGAAAAGACAGGAAAUCUAUAAUGAUAUAGAAAUUAGGAUCAAGUAAAAGGUUCAAGUUUAAACUCUGAGAGAUUGGGAAUAUACUUAACAAAAGAACAAUACUGAAAAAUAUUUUAUAGAACUCAAAUUUUCAUACAGAGGAUACAUAUAUAUAUAUAUAUAUAUAUAUAAAACUUGUAAUGCAAAAACAAGUCUCAUAGAAACUACAUUUUUAUCCUACUUCCCAUGCCCUUAGACAGCCAGUCAUCCUUUUAAUAUAAUAAUUCAUUUUUGAGGGUGCACAACUCAGGGCUGAGAUUUUAUAACAACGUUAUUGAAAUAUAGUUCACAUACCAUCAAAUUAAUUAUUUUCUGCUAUACAGUGAAGUGGCUUUAAAUAUACUGAAAGCGUUGUAUAAAAGUAUAUUCCAUCACCACUAUUCUAGGACAUUUACAUCACCCCAAAGAGACUCCAUACUCUUUAUCAGUUAAUCCUCACUUCUCUUACACCAGUAACUAUUCUACUACCUGUCACUGUUUAUCCAUUUCACAAAAACAGUAUUUAUUUCUAAUGUACAGUCUUUUCUGUCUGGCUUCUUUUACUUAGCAAAAUAUUUUCACAGUUCAUUUAUGUUAUAAAAACUUGUUUUUAGGGUUGGGGAUUUAGCUCAGUGGUAGAGCGCUUGCCUAGCAAGCACAAGGCCCUGGGUUUGAUCCUCAGCUCAAAAACAAAAACAAAAUCAAAAACAAAAAACUUGUUUUUAAACUAAUGUGAUACUGUUAACUAUUACUGGUAUUUGUUCUGCAUGAAGAAAAGACAAAGUAAGAAAUACUGUGCUAUGAUAGCAGUCAAUUAGAGCUCUUAAACAAGUUGAGAUAUUUAAACAUAUUUAGUGCAUAUGAAAGGCAGUCUUAGGUCAAGUCCCAAGAAAGAAAAGCAUACAGACAUAGAUACUACCAGGAGGAAAACAUCACAAAGUAUCCAACAAUGUGUCUUAGUCAAAUAAGGCUGGAGAUAUGAAGCUUCAUGUCAAUGAUCCAAAAAGGUAGAGAAGCUUUCAAACAAACAUAAUGCUGUGGUUGUUUGAAUAAAAAUGGCCCCCAGACACUCAUAGGGUGUGGCACUAUUAGGAGAUGUGGCCUUGUUGGAAGAGGUGUGUCACUUGGGAGUGAGCUUUGAGGUCUCAGAUGCUCAAGCCACACCCAGUGUGGCAUUCUCUCCCUGUUGCCUAUGGAUGCAGAUGUACAACUCUCAGCUACCUCUCCAUCAUCAUGUCUGCCUGCAUGUCAUCAUGCUUCCUGCCAUGAUGAUAACAGCCUGAACCUCUGAACUAUAAGUGAGCCACAAGACACAGUUACAGUGCUAGUUGUGAGCAAUACCUUGAGGAGGUGGAGUCAUUUCUCUAGAUAAUGUACAUUCUAAGUUAGCAAAUAGUGUCCAUUACCAUUUGCUGGUAACAAAGGGGUUAUAUAUAAAAAUGGCUCUUGUUUCUAUGAUCCUAGCCACUCAUUGGUGAAAUAAUCACUUCUUAACUUUGUAACAUAGCUCUGCUGGCACAGAAGUUUUUGUUUCAAUGAAGGGAUGCUUCUAUGGAUGUAUACAGCAAUGAUUUUCCUUAAAUUAGAAUAGAACUUUAUUUGUGGAAUUGAGAUUUUGAAAAUGAUUUUAUAGUUCAUGCAAUAGAUUUUGAUACAUUAAUCUGGAUAUACAUUUACCAUGUAAUAAAUUUAAAAACAAUGUCAAAUAGGUGAUCAUCAAAACCAAUUGUAUUUAACUUGAUAUUUGUAAGGAAUAAUUUGGGCAUUAUAAAUAAAAAGCUAAACCAAAUAGCAUUUGGGUUUGCAUUAUUAAGGCAAUUUUGUGUGUUUCAUUUGUUGGGAGCGGGGGAGGAGAAGUAGAGAAAAUGAAGGCUAAAGUACUUUUCUAGAAAAGUACAAAGCUUUGGCUUCAUGAAGGGGACUCCAAACUCCACAGCAGUAGAAUGUCAUUGAGACAGUGUCAAGCAAAGGUGCUCUCUCUAGGUUCCCUCCAGACCAUUGGUCCACACCUGGGUGGUGGUGGGGAAGAGUGCUCCUGGACUCUAACACCAGGUUCUAGUGAAGUCACUGGACCAUCCAGAGGGAUAUCAGCCUAAUGAAAAGAAAGCUUGUGUUUCCUAAGCUCUGCCCCAAACAACUGUGUACAAUUCUAUUUCACAAGACAGUUUUAUCCUUAGUUCCAUACAAUGGGGGACAUUCCAGAUAACACACAGGCCCAUAUUAGUGUUACUUUGCCACUGUAAAGAAAGUGAACUCUGAUGCUAAGAUCUAUACAUGAAUACAUACAUAUUCCAGCAUGCAUUUGGGAUCAGUGAUAGGCUUUCAUCCUCAUGUACUCUAGAUUGCCCUGUUUUGGGGUCAACAUACUCACUGGGAAAAGAGGCAGCGUGGGCACCUGACUUAGACUCUAGUGGCUGGCAGGAAAGCAUUCCAGAACUUACCAUAGCCUCGGAAGACAAAAAAGUGGGCACGGGUAUUCAUACCUGACAGAUGAAGAAACUAGAGCCCAGUAGUGCAGGUUCACACAGAUGGCCAUGCCUGUACAGUAAUGAUUUUAUUAGACUGCUACUUGUUCACUUUGGGUCCAUCAUGCCAGUCAAUAAAUAGGAAAACAGGGUGUUGUGCUAUUAGUUUAUGUGACUUAAUCUGUUUGCAAAGAAGACAUUGGGACAUAUAACUCAAUGAGGUUAAGGAGGAGUACAUCUAGAAGGCAUGAGAUCAUCUAGGACAGUGACUACUCUUAUACUGCCAAAUUCCUUCCUCAGAUAUCCUUCUAGACGGUUUGUAUUUAGUUUUUAUUAGAAAGAGAUGUAGAUUCUUCUGUGGGAUCCCAUAUAAUUGGUAUUGGAAAUUUGAAGGCAAUAAGAGACCAGUGUGGUGGCCUCUGUCCUUAUGACAGCACUCAUCAUGUGUCUGAUGAGAUUUUGUUUGUCUGUUUCAAGUCUCUCAUCCCUUCCCUACUGACUACUCUGUUGGCCUCAGGUGGAACGGGAAGCACUGUUUUCCACAUACCAUAUCAUAGCAAUUCACCAUGAUAAAUAUUUUACUAUACAAAUAUGUAGCUUAGGAGUUCUGCUUCUCUGGUUGACCCCUGACUGAUGUAUUGACCUUCAGUUCUGGUUGUUUUGCCAUUUCCUCAUCCUUGGCCUGGUUUUCAUUUAUUCAUAGUCUUUAGUCUUAGGACAGAAUGUCUUCUCUUCCUAUACAUUCCUUUUAUAUGUUUGUUGUAAACAAGCUCAUUGGUUUCCAUUGUAUUAACUCUCAUCCAUAGGCUCUUCAUUUUCAAAUUUUCUUUUUUUUUUUUUCCAAGACAGGGUUUCUCUGUGUAGCUUUGUGCCCGUCUUUCCUGGAACUCACUUGGUAGCCCAGGCUGGCCUCGAACUCACAGAGAUCCACCUGGCUCUGCCUUCCGAGUGCUGGGAUUAAAGGCGUGCGCCACCACCGCCUGGCUAUUUUCAAAUUUUCUUGAUCUCAAGAGUGAUCUAGAUCUUUCCUGGCUUAAUGUAUCUCUAACUGGAGUUAUUUCACAGGUAUCAUUGAUUCAGUGAUUCCAAAAAUGAUUUCAUGAUCUGGAGCUAUAAUUCAGGGGCAAAGUGCUUGCUGUACAUGCAUAGGUACAUAGAGUAUAUAGGUACUCUAGCUCCCAUGUAAAAGCAGAGAGCAGUGGUAUAUACCUCUAAUUCCAGAGCAGGAGAAGCAUGGUCAGGAGGAUUCUUGGAGCUUGCUGGCCAGCUAGUCUAGCCAAACCCACAAGUUUCGGUCUAGUGGGAGACUAUCUCAAAAACUAAAGUGGACAAUGACUGAGGAAGACACUAGACACUAGCCUCUGGUACUCAUGCAUAUACAUCCAUACACACAAGCAGGAAGAUAAUUAGUUCAUUUUUCUUUAAAUUAAAUGAACAUGAUAAAAGCAAGUUUGUGGUGAUAUUUUAUUUGUGAUGAAAUGUGGUGAUAUUUUAUUUGUAUGUUAAUAAAUAAAGCAUGCCUGGAGAUCAAGGGGGAAAAGGCAGCCAUUUUUAAGUAAACAUGGAAGUCAGGCAGUGGUAGCACACGCCCUUAAUCUGAUCACGUGGCAGGCAGGGUCUCUGCGUGUUCAAGGACACACUAGAGAACAGCCAAGCAUGGUGACACAAGCCUUUAAUCCUAGUACCAACCAUAGAGACCUGGAGGUCUGAACAGACAGGCAGUGACAAGGAAGUGAGGUAGCUGGGCUAAGAGCCAAUGAGAGGGCAGAACAGCAAGGCAAUAAAGGCAUAGGAGACAGGCAGUAACUCACCUUUUGACAGCUGCAGAGCUGGAGAGGUAAGGUUGGUGGCUAUCACUAUUUCUCUGAUCUCUAAGGCUUUCACCCCUAUAUUUGGCCCUGUGUUUCUUAUUUAAUAAGACCAUUUAGAAAUUCGGCUACACAAGUUGAGUUGUAUACUAGUUUUUGUUGUGGUAUUUCUCAUAAAGCUUUUUAUUGUGUAUCUGCCAUUCCCACUCAGCACAGCAAAUAGUACCUAUUCAAUAUAUGUUCAUGAGCAAAUGACUGAAUGAACUAAGGAAUCCAUAGAGAAAAUAAAAACUCAAGAGAGAUAAUAAAUGGCAUCAAAGAAGAAAGAUGGAAAAUGAGAAAGAUCUAAAGUCUAUCAUAUAAAGAUUAGCUGUCUGAUGUCCUAUUGCAAAUAAGACAAACACAAAUUUCCCCCUAAAAUAUUAUGUAGCCAUAAGGUUUCAUUGAAAAGAAGUACUAACUAAAUUACUGUGUCUCAGCUUUUUAAUAUUCAUUGAAUUUUGCAUAUAAAGUACUUCAAGUAUUUAAUUUAAACUAUAGCAGUGAAGCUUUGAGAUUUAUAACAGUGGGAGUAAACUUUCAGACCAAAAUGCUUUCAUUUUUCUAAUAGAAAUUUUAUAAUUAGUGGUAGUUUAUGCUAAAUUGUCAUACUAGUACACGAACAUAUUUGUUUUCAGAUUAAGGAUAGUUGCAGAAUCUUUAUUAACAAGUGAAGGUAUUUGCAUUUGUUUUAUCAGAAAAAAACUCCAAUUGUCAAAUUAUCUACUAGAAAAAUAAUUAAAAUCCUAAAUGCAAACUGAAUAAAAAUAUGAUCCUGUCUUCAAUUUACAUUAAUAUAAUUGUAUUCUAUGGCUCACUUAUUAAAUUAUUUUUCUCAAAAGAAGCUAUUUCUUUACUAUCAUGCAUUAAUAACAACACAUAAUCAUCCAGAAUUUUCUAGGCUUGAAUCUUCAAGGAAUAUAUAUAAGAGCACUAAUUUAUCUUGGGGGAUAUUGAUAGUGAUUUAGAGGUAUUCACCAUAGGAUAUCUAUUUGUUUGUUUAUUUUAGAGACACAGUCUUUUGUAUCUUAGUCUGGCUUCACAUUAACAAUGUAGCUGAGGCUGGCCUUGAAGGCCUGACCUUCCAGCCUUUUCCUCUUCAAUGCUGGGAUUAUAAAUAUAUGCCACCAUGUCUGGCUACAGUUUCAUUUAAGUUGGGCAACUAUUAUUAAUAUAUUUUUAAAUUUCUAAAUCAUUCAAAAAAAUAAAACAAAAAGAACAAGAAAUAAGCAUGGUACAAAUCUCAAAGUGAAAUGGUAAAAGAUACCCCAAUUCAUUUAUUAAGAUCCUAUGCCAUUCAGUUACUUUAUUCUGCAUUUAGAAAUAAUUUUUGAAUCUUCACUACCUAAAGGAUAAAAUUCCAAGUCUCAAACUCUCCCAAAUCUGAGUUAACCUUUUCAGCUUCAUUUCCCAUGUCUCCUCUCUAUGAAAGCCAAGUCCCACUACACCAAUCUCAGCUUCUUCCAUACCCUAUAAACGUAAUAGCUUUCAUUUCUCCCUGCUUUGCUAAGAAUAUUUUGUACGUACAGGCUACAAGGCUCCCUUUUCCCCAAUAAUUCUACACGAUAUGAUACUUCAUCACAGUAUUAAUGCUUUCUGUUUUUUGCUCCUUUUAUAUUUCUGAGUAUGUGCAUGUUCAUGUGUGUGAAUAAAUAAAUCCUGGCUAUCCAGGGUGGACCCUAGGAUGACUUUGGCUUAUAAUAAGUUUUGGUUUUACUCAAUCACUGGGCAAGCCUCAGUGAAACAUUUCACUAUUAGGAUAAGAAUUUGUACUGUAUCAAGCUGAUAAUAGGAAAAAAAAAGAAAAAUUUAAAUAAAAAAAGAGUAAGCUAGUAAAAAGCUUGAGCUAUUGGCUGAGCAUUUAUAUGUAAUAUUAUGUCUUCAUGUCGGUUGUUUGGGAAGUGGCUGCUGGGAUGGGAAACUUCUGCCUACACUACAGUUCCUUUAAAAGUAAUUAACAAAAGGCUGGGGAGAUGGUUCUGUGCUUGAGAGUGCUUGCUGCUCUUCUCUUCUAGCGGACACAUUUGGAUCUCAACAUCCAAACAGGGCCUUACAACUGCUUGUAAAUUCAGCUCCAAGUGACCUGGCACCAUCUUUUGGCCUCCAAGGACACCUGUACUCAUAUUAAUGUGCAUAUACCCAUAUACAGACACACAUACAUAUAUGUAAUUCAAAAUAAAACAGUUUCUUAGUGUUUAAAAAAAAUCCUGGCUAUCAUGUGGAGGGCCUAGGACACCCUUGAGGAUUGAUCCUUGUCUUCUACUUUGAGACAGGAUUUCUUAUUCUCUGCUACUGUGUACUGCAGGCUAGCUGUCUCAUGAGCUUCUAGAGUUUGUCUGUUCUCUGUAAUAGGAUUAGAGAUGCACGCAACCACAUGUGGCUUUACAUGAGUUCUAGAGAUCCAAACUCAGACCCUCAUACUUGAAAGGUAAGCAUUUCUUACCAUGCCAUCUCCCUAGCCAGCCUUUUACAUUAUUUUUAUUUCUGUAUGCCCCAUUCUCCACAUCAAGUCACUGGUCUGAGCUUGACACUAGCAGAAUUAAAUAUAAUUUUUUCCUAGAAAAAGCAUUAAAUAUGUGAACAAAUGGCCAAUAUAAUAGAGUGUCUCUUUAUUACAAACAUUUAGAGUCCUAAAUGUUUAUUCAAGACAUUUAGGUCUUGAUGUUCUUUGCUCAAAAUCCACUCACCUCUGGGAGACCCUAAUACUCACUCUUGUCUGUCAUUAUUUGCUACUCAGAGUCUAUGAUCCACAAAUGAUGUUGUGGAAUCUUCUUUUACUUUCUUUUCUCUUCCUGUCCUUCCUGAGUUUCUUUUUCUUUCCCCUCUUCUUUUGCCCCACAUUUUAUCUUCAUCAUCUCUCUUUUUUUUUUUCCUUUUCAGUGCUAAGGAUGGAACUAAAGCCCUCAUACAGAGUGAGGAAUAUAGCACUGAGCUACAUUCCCAGUCCAAUACUGUGAUUUCUAGGUUGUUGUUGUUUUCUAUAAUUGUCUUUGAUUGGUCUGAUGAUCUAUGAAUUAACAACUUUAGUUGUCAUAAAAAAACAAACAAACAAAAAACCAAAUUUCUACAGUGGAACAGAGACUUGAGACUGGAAAAUUGCAGUGAAGCUCUUGUUUGGCAAGAGAAUGAGAAUUGUAUACAGGUAUUGAAAUGUCAUUGGAUCUAAGUUGCUGUGGCAUUAAGAUAGGAAAUAGUAUUUGACUAGGUCCUGAUUUUGUCAGCACUCUUCCUCAAUUCUUGGCUUAAAUCCACGUAAGGAGUUCAUAAGCACAAGCAUAUCUUUCUAUCUGAUUCUUUCCUCCAGAAGAUUGGAGAAAUGAAAUAUCAAUUCACAACUCAGUCAGUUUUUGAAACCCAA